rnacentral:ribozyme from 13 species
AAAAACGAGAAAUGGAUCACUUGUUUUCAUUGUGGUUGUUGUGGUUUCUUUUUUCUUUUUUUCUUUUUCGGUCACGGAACCGCCGUCAUUUUCACGCAAAC